rnacentral:rRNA from 1 species
GACGAACGCUGGCGGCGUGCUUAACACAUGCAAGUCGAGCGGUAAGGCCCUUUCGGGGGUACACGAGCGGCGAACGGGUGAGUAACACGUGGGUGGACCUGCCCUCAGCUCUGGGAUAAGCCUGGGAAACCGGGGUCUAAUACCGGAUAUGACUCCAUGACGCAUGUUGUGGGGUGGAAAGCCUUGUGCGGCUGAGGAUGGGCCCGCGGCCUAUCAGCUUGUUGGUGGGGUGAUGGCCUACCAAGGCGACGACGGGUAGCCGGCCUGAGAGGGCGACCGGCCGACACUGGGACUGAGACACGGCCCAGACUCCUACGGGAGGGCAGCAGUGGGGAAUCUUGCGCAAUGGGCGAAAGCCUGACGCAGCGACGCCGCGUGAGGGAUGACGGCCUC